UUUCCAAGGGAGGGCGGCCCCCCUCUGUGGUGCUUCCUUUUUUCUGAUGGUGGAAACGUGGCCUCCAAAAAAGGGGGCGUAAGCAGCCGUUCUGUGCCAGGUGGUGGAACCGCCCCAGGCUCGAGGCAGGAGCUGGGGUCCCCGCCUGGGGCAGCUGCUGGGUCCCAAGCCGUCUCCUGUGAGAAAGAACAAAAAUGUAUCUUGUCAAAGCUGCGCGGCUUUCUCAGGGUGAAAGCCCGGAAGAUGAUUGAAUUGUUCUUUAAAACAUCUCGGAAUAUAUUUAAAUGAGCAGAACAGAAGUUAAAGACACAGCUUCUUCCAGCGCAGGUGGGGCCAGUAAUUAAACCCCUCGGGGGUGGAUGCACUUGAAAGAGAACUUAGUUGAAAUUGACCUGGAAUCCCAGCUCCUGGGGACAGGCAAGCAGAAGCCGGGGGCAGGCAGCAUGUGGGGAGCUGUGGGGUCCUGGCUCUCCCCAGCUGCACUCAGAAGAGUGAGGUGCCGCCUCCCCUAGAGGAGCUGGAGAAGUGGGGGCGGGUGGAGGCGGGGAGGCACCGAGGGUCCCUGGUACAGGGCACUGGCAGCAGGCUCUCCGGGGAAAAACUAAAAGGAAGUCCCCUGUUAGGAGCGUUUGCACAUCCUCCCACCACAGCUGUUUAAACCACAAGGGUCAACCCCAGCUCCCAAAGCUGCACACCUCACAAAUGGCCAGGUGGAGCCCAGCCCUGGCUUGGUGGCCCCUCCAGAAAGGCAGAGUCUUGGGGCAGUUUAAGCUGCACCCCAUUAUGACAAACUCAGCUGGCAGCGGACCCGCGCUGCUGCCCCAGGGGCCUGUGUGUCUUCCCUCUGCCCGGCUGGCAUCUGGCCCGGCAGUGCUUGCUGGCUUUGGCUUCACUUUGGAGCCUGCAGGUGCCGGCACGGCUACUUCCCUCAUGGCUUGAGAACCCAAACGUGGAGUCCGGGAAAGGGGGCUGGGCUGGAACCCCCACGUGUCAGGGACCACGGAGCCUGCAGGAGAAUGUGGGCCCAGGGAACGGGGAAGAGCUGUUCCCCAAUUUGGGAGAGGCCCCAGGCCACCUCAGUGUGUUGGGCCACACAGCAGUGUAGGCCACAGAAUGGCCACCCAGCCACAGUCGGCAGAACCCCAGAGCCCACUAGGGGAGGGCGUGGUGGGUGCACAUGUGUGAGUGUGUGUCAGCAGGAGGGGUGGGUGUGAACUGAUUGUGUGCUGUGUCAGUGUCAGCAUGUGCCAUGUAUACACAAGAGUGCCUGUGUGUAGCAUGUGGCAUGUAAGCAUGGUCCUGUGUGACCCUGUGUGUGCAUGUGUGUGCACGUGUGGCCCUCCCCUGGGGAGGCACAGGGGAACUGAUCUCAAAUCCACGGACAUCACCGACCACUUGCGCAGGGCCCGGCUCUGGGGGUCGGCAGAGCACAAAAGAGGCAGAAAGCGCUGCCCCAGGGGACCAAGACCACACCGUGGGGUCCAGCAGCUGGGAGGGGGGCCUGAUGUUUUCAGGGAAAGCAGCUUCACCCCACAGGGAAGAUUAAAAGAGGGGCUCCCCACCUCCUCAGGCACCUUUCCAAAGGGACAGCCCCUGAACGUGGAGCAUAUCAGCAACCCGGCAGCUGAGUUCUCGCAGUUUCCAGAGUGAUACCUGAGGGCAGUGUGCACAUGCCCUAAAAAGACAGGGGGAGAACACCUGCUGUCAUUCCCAACAGCCCUGUAUCCAGCACCCCAGGAUCCACAGCACCCCAGCAUUUCAGCACCCCAGCAUUCCCACCAUCCCUAGCAUCCCAGCACGCCAGCAUGUCAGCAUCUCCGCCAUCACCAUAAUCCCCGAAACUCCAGCGUCCUAGCCUCUCAACACCCCAGCACCCCAGCACCCCAACAUCCCAGCAUCCCAUGACCCCCAGCACCCCAGCACCCCAGCGUUGCUGCAUCCCAGCACCCAACUUGGGGUCACAGAUUUUUAUCUGAUGAAUCUGCAGCUCUUAAUUAAUGCUUACCUGCCUUCCCUCUGCGUUCCGAAGACUCUGUGCACAGGUGCUGUGUACAUUACAUCCCUUUCCGGCUGAGGAAUGGCAGUUACAUCGUACAGCGUCAUGAGCUAACCAUCCACCCAUUCACCUGGAGAUAGUUUGGAAGCCUCGCUGCGUCGUUAGAGCAGAGCCUCGUUCUGAACUCCGGGCCCGGCGGGCCCCACACCACCGCUGAGGCUGCUGCAGCUCAGGGUGGCUUUGACAUCCGUGGUGGCACUCUCUUCUCUGAGGCCUUGCUGUUCAACGUUUUGCAAGACUGUAUUUGCAUGUUUAUUUUUAUGUAAAUGCUGAAACAUCUGGUCUAGUUUAAAAAAUAAACACAAACCACAAAGCCAAAAGCACACUGCUGGCAUUUUCUCUGGCACAGGUUGAUUUAAAGAGAACUGGCGUCCGUGAGGCCGUGUGUCUCCCCCAGCUGCAAGGGGCUCUCUCAGUCACUUGCGUUCAGUGUGCGUCUGUUGGUAAAGAAUCUGUGCCUUGAUAUUGAUAAGGAAGGUGAUUCGGUGAUUUCUUUUCAAACAAAGAAAGAAUGUGGAAUUGAUCUUCACUUCCAUGCUCCUGAACGUGUUCACAGCAUUGUAAUUACAUGUUCCUUAAAGGUUUGCCAGAACUUGUAA